rnacentral:misc_RNA from 1 species
GAUGAAGAACGUAGCGAAAUGCGAUAAGUAGUGUGAAUUGCAGAAUUCAGUGAAUCAUCGAAUCUUUGAACGCGCAUUGCGCCCUUUGGUAUUCCAAAGGGCAUGCCUGUUCGAGCGUCAUUUGUACCCUCAAGCUUUGCUUGGUGUUGGGCGUCUUGUCUCUAGCUUUGCUGGAGACUCGCCUUAAAGUAAUUGGCAGCCGGCCUACUGGUUUCGGAGCGCAGCACAAGUCGCACUCUCUAUCAGCAAAGGUCUAGCAUCCAUUAAGCCUUUUUUUCAACUUUUGACCUCGGAUCAGGUAGGGAUACCCGCUGAACUUAAGCAUAUCAAUAAGCGGAGGA